AACGAACGCUGGCGGCAGGCUUAACACAUGCAAGUCGAACGCAUCCUUCGGGGUGAGUGGCAGACGGGUGAGUAACGCGUGGGAACGUGCCCUUCAGUUCGGGAUAACCCAGGGAAACUUGGGCUAAUACCGGAUACGUGCGAGAGCAGAAAGAUUUAUCGCUGAAGGAUCGGCCCGCGUCUGAUUAGCUAGUUGGUGGGGUAAUGGCCCACCAAGGCGACGAUCAGUAGCUGGUCUGAGAGGAUGAUCAGCCACAUUGGGACUGAGACACGGCCCAAACUCCUACGGGAGGCAGCAGUGGGGAAUAUUGGACAAUGGGGGCAACCCUGAUCCAGCAAUGCCGCGUGAGUGAAGAAGGCCUUCGGGUUGUAAACCUCUUUUAGCAGGGAAGAAGCGAAAGUGACGGUACCUGCAGAAAAAGCACCGGCUAACUACGUGCCAGCCGCCGCCGUAA
rnacentral:rRNA from 1 species